GAUGGGCCGCGGCCGCCCGGUGCCAAACAAACAGACGAGACUGAGGGAGGGAGUAAAGUAGUGAUGAGCAUUCCGAGUCUUUUCGGUGAGCGGGCUCAUUUGGCUCCGUUUACUUAAAAGAGACGGCUCAUUUGGCUCCCAAACGGCUUUUCAUUCAAAAUGCUUGAAAAUUGACCUAGAACCAUGAAAAAAUUGCUAAGCUCAAAUGUAAAGCUCAAAAGGUAGGCUACCAUUAUGUCAGAUAGUGAAAUGCGGCUUCAAAUACAUUUUUACCUGGCCAAAUUAUUAGAUGGCUUGCAACAACAACAAAGAACAUGCACUGAAAAAAAUCUGCGUGGUCUAGAUUGACGCGCUCUCCCCACUAUUUAUUGUUUCUGCAGUGAGGAUUCACCCUCUUUAGAUCAUUAUGUUGUAACUUAUCUGCAGAACAACUUUGGUUUGAGCUCAAAAAGCAGUAGUAGCAGUAUGCAAAUCAGGGAGCCAAAUGAACGUCUCUUUCACAGAUGUGAUUCGUUUUCCGACGUUCGCCAAAAAGAGCCGUUCGUUUGCCAACAAGCCAUCACUAGAGCAAAGGGAGGGAGCAGCGGACAUUCGCCCAUCCGCUGUGUCAAUUGAAGGGCUUUCUUUGUCAGCUGCUGAUGUCCGACUGAAAAACGUGCUGAUGUCAGUUGGACUCAUUGAGUCUAACAGGAGUGCAUCCCUCAGACCAUUAUGUGCAUCGACAUCCUGUGCCAGUGUGAUCCGGUUGUGGAGACUACAGCAGAUCGAGUCUUUGGAUGAACAGACAUGAGGCAUGACAUGCAGAACAUCAGGCUCACCCCACGAGAAGCAGUGUAUGAUCAAUGCCACCCUCAGCAAGGAGAUCUGCUGAAAGUGAUGUCUCUCCCAUCCGUAGAUGCUCUCUCUCUCUCUCGCUCUCGCUCUCGCUCUCGCUCUCGCUCUCGCUCUCGCUCUCGCUCUCGCUCUCUCGCUCUCUCUCUCGUUAAGCAGUCCAGAUGAUUUUUGUAGGGUGUGACCUAUCCAACUCUACUUUCUUCUUAUUUAGAGUUCAAUGAUAACAUUGAAGUUCCAGGCACAAGGGAUGAUGCCGGCAUAGCAGGCAGCCUUUUGCUUAGAUUUUGCUUUGUUGUUGGCAGUUAAGUUGAAAUAUUGUCAGUUAAAUUUUAAUAAUGUCAGUUAAUCAUUCCACUUAAACUGGCUGGUUAGUUGGCUAACAAACAUACUGUGCAGAUAUAUCUACAAAUUCAUCUGGCUAAUUGAUAGUUUGAGGAGGAGCAACAUAAUGCUGUGCUGUUACAUGUGUAAAUGACCUGGUAUAACAGCAAAAUGAGCUAAAAGCUACUUUAAUCAUUGCAGUAUUGCAAAUGCUCAGGCAGCUGCCAUUUUCCGUUGGGAAAAAAAAAAAUCCCAACACAACGAACAGGGUAAGAAAUAAUUUAAACAUCACAUACUGUAUAUCAAUUCCCACUGUGCCCAUGAUAAAAUGCAAUGUGAAUUGUGUUGUACUACUGAAUGAAACUGUGAGGAAAUGCACUCAGGCCAGCCUUUGUGAUUGAACUUACGUUAACUAUAUUACUUUAGUUGGCUUCUUUGAGCAAAACUUGUAUGUAAAAUAACCUAUUCUGGGAGCCGUGUGUGUGAACUAUGUGGAAUAUUUUUGGACCAUUGGCUUCCCUGAAAAUAGGUACUGACAGGAUGAGAACGCUGAUUCAGUGCCCUCCAAAAUAAACUGAAUGGAAUAAAACCUCAAGUGCCAACUUUGGGAGCAUGCGGUCCUUGAAAAACUCCUCUAGUCCAGCAAUAUGAGUCUGCCAGAGGUCAUCACGCUGGAUGGGGAUGGUGAUGGAGGCUUUGGUAGUCAACACAACCAAGAAGCAAGUGUCCCUUCCAGUGAUGUGGAGCUGCCUUGGACCUGGUUCCAGUAAAGAUGGUCUUCACGGAGGCGGUAAGACCCUCCCUCCUCCUGGAUAUAGAAAUCAUUCGACUUCACUGCCUCCUCAAUGGUAAGGUCCCUUGCACCAUAGGGACACUUAACCUCAACCAGUAGUGCUCACCAGACAAUCCGGUGAGGCAACCAGGAUCCCAGAUCCUGUGACCCAAAGCCCUGACUCCUGCACAUCCAUCCCUGUAGCCAUUUUGAAUGCCUUGAUACCCUCCUCUUCGUUAUCUGUGCCCCACUUACAGACAACACCCCAUUCAACAACUGUGAUCUGAGGACCCUUUUUAGCAGUGAUGGAGUAAUGCACUUGGCCCUAACCACUGCUCCAAAAUUGCUGGCCGUCAACAUCCCUCUCCUCAUGGUGUGCCAGUUGGGGUUGGUACGCUGUCCAACUGUUGCCUGCCGUAUAGCUUCCUGCUGCUACACCGACAGCACCAUGCCAGCCAGGAUGCCUGCAUGCCCCAGGUGCCCUUGUUUUUUUAACAAUGUCCGGUUCAGACAGGGAUGAAAGUGAGGGUAGCGGUUGUUCUGGCUCAGGUUCAAGGAGCCAUGCCAUUCUACUGAACCUGCCCCGGAUAUGGUUUCUUAGCCACUGAAGAUCCUCCUUUGUGGGCUCUCGGGACAGGGUUGUAGUCUUCGGCUGGGUACAUGUCCUCCACUGACUGCACCUGGUUGGGCACGGCUGUCUUCCUUCACUCGCAUUCCACAUCCGUACAGCCGAUAUAGUGAACCGCAAAAAUAGCCAAUGCAGCCACAUGGCUACACUUAUGAACUCCACGGGGGUAUUUGCAUGUGGUAGCAAGAAUCCCCUGGUCACCUAUAGAGACCUGCCAAGAGGAAGGAUGUGAAGUGCCACAUGCCUUUCAACGCAUGACUUUGAAAUGCAUUUGUUGUAAGAAAUGUGCUAUAUACUGUAAAUAAAGUUAGAUUUGAUUGAUGACAUUAUAGCUAUAGAAUAUUUAAUCAACUGUAAUUUUCACAUGAGGACAAGUGAAGUUUUUCCAUUAUCACUUGACAUAUCAAUCAUAUCGUGGGAAGGAUCAUAUAAAUCAAGACUGUGUGAAUGAAUGUACCACCCCGAAUGAAUAACUACUGUGCCUUUGAAGAUGUGUCUCUGGUCAUGAAACUACAAUACAG